GCCUGUGGUACUCCACAGAAUACCACAGCGUGGUAUCAAAAAAGGAGGAACAGCAACAAACCGCCGGACUAGCGGUGCGGCAGUGUGGAGACCUGUCGUAAUGCGGCGCCCGCCAACGCGCGGGGUCGUGAAAUCACACCUUGCGGAGGCAGUGUGAUUAUAGUCGAACGCAUGGCA
rnacentral:ncRNA from 1 species